GAAGCGGCGCGCGAUGGCACCGCCCGUGGCGUCGCCGGCGCCGAUGACGAGGAUGGCUUUCUUGUCGCUCAUGGUUCAGUCUCCUUGGUGGUUUCG
rnacentral:tRNA from 1 species